AGCUCUCUCUGUCUCUGCAGGGCCAGUGUGGCCUGUUUCUCAGCCUUCUGCAGCUCCUGCUCCCCCUGCUGGAGAGCUGAAGCAGGAUCUACCCAGUCUUUCUGUGACCCAGUCAGAAGAGAGGCCCAUGGCCCGAUGCUCUCCGGGUGUGCAGUACCUGCUGUAUCCUCAUCAGCUUCAGCUCCUGCCGAUCGGUGCGCUUGACGAAGCCCUUGAAGGACUUGGGCUUGGGCGCGCUGAUGCACAGCUCAGUGACCGAGGGUGGGAUGUGGGCCUCCAGCUCCAUCAGACCUGCCAGUGAGAAAUGAGUACGUACGCGGUCUGCCCUGCUAAAGCUACACAUUAAAAAGGUCUUCCUCUG